rnacentral:tRNA from 1 species
GAAGAAAUGCCUGAGUGGUUAAAAGGGAUAGACUGUAAAUCUAUUAAUAGUAAUAUUUUCGUUGGUUCGAAACCAACUUUCUUCA